rnacentral:snoRNA from 1 species
UGGCAAUGAUUUGAAUUUAUCCGCGCUUCUGAGUUUAUGAACCAUGAAGCAAGAAAGUCAAUGUAAUAUGAGCUA